rnacentral:rRNA from 1 species
GAUGAACGCUGGCGGCGUGCCUAAUACAUGCAAGUCGAGCGAAUGGAUUGAGAGCUUGCUCUUAUGAAGUUAGCGGCGGACGGGUGAGUAACACGUGGGUAACCUGCCCAUAAGACUGGGAUAACUCCGGGAAACCGGGGCUAAUACCGGAUAACAUUUUGAACCGCAUGGUUCGAAAUUGAAAGGCGGCUUCGGCUGUCACUUAUGGAUGGACCCGCGUCGCAUUAGCUAGUUGGUGAGGUAACGGCUCACCAAGGCAACGAUGCGUAGACGCCCUGAGAGGGUGAUCGGCCACACUGGGACUGAGACACGGCCCAGACUCCUACGGGAGGCAGCAGUAGGGAAUCUUCCGCAAUGGACGAAAGUCUGACGGAGCAACGCCGCGUGAAUGAUGAAGGCUUUCGGGUCGUAAAACUCUGUUGUUAGGGAAGAACAGGUGCUAGUUGAAUAAGCUGGCACCUUGACGGUACCUAACCAGAAAGCCACGGCUAACUACGUGCCAGCCGCCGCUGUAA